rnacentral:tRNA from 1 species
GGGAAGAUGGCUCAGUGGUAGAGUGCUUGCCUAGCAUGCAUGAAGUCCUGGGUUCGAUUCCUCAGUACCA